AGUGAAUGCUGGCGGCGUGCUUAACACAUGCAAGUCGAACGAGAACGGAUUAUAGCUUGCUAUAAUUGUCAGCUAAGUGGCGCACGGGUGAGUAAUGUAUAGAUAACCUGCCCUCUAGAAAGGAAUAACAGUUGGAAACGACUGCUAAUGCCCUAUAUGCCUUUAAUACAUAAGUAUGCAAGGGAAACGCUUUAGUGCUAGAGGAUGGGUCUGUAUGGUAUCAGUUAGUUGGUGAGGUAAUGGCUCACCAAGACUAUGACGCCUAACUGGUUUGGGAGGAUGAUCAGUCACACUGGAACUGAGACACGGUCCAGACUCCUACGGGAGGCAGCAGUGGGGAAUAUUGCACAAUGGACGAAAGUCUGAUGCAGCAACGCCGCGUGGAGGAUGACACAUUUCGGUGCGUAAACUCCUUUUAUAUAGGAAGAUAAUGACGGUACUAUAUGAAUAAGCACCGGCUAACUCCGUGCCAGCAGCCGCGGUAA
rnacentral:rRNA from 1 species